rnacentral:rRNA from 1 species
AAACUUUUGACAACGGAUCUCUUGGUUCUCCCAUCGAUGAAGAACGCAGCGAAACGCGAUAGGUAUUGUGAAUUGCAGAAUCAGGGAAUCAUCGAAUUUUUGAACGCACCUUGCGCUCCCUGGUAUUCCUAGGAGCAUGCCUGUUUGAGUGUUGAUAG